rnacentral:rRNA from 1 species
UACGAAGGGGGCUAGCGUUGUUCGGAAUUACUGGGCGUAAAGCGCACGCAGGUGGCUGAGUCAGUCGAUUGUGAAAGCCCUGGGCUUAACCUGGGAAUUGCAGUCGAUACUACUCAGCUAGAGUAUGGGAGAGGGUAGUGGAAUUCCCGGUGUAGCGGUGAAAUGCGUAGAUAUCGGGAGGAACAUCAGUGGCGAAGGCGGCUACCUGGCCCAAUACUGACGCUCAGGUGCGACAGCGUGGGGAGCAAACAGG